rnacentral:tRNA from 13 species
AUGACUAUAAGUUAAUAGGUAGACUGUUCGUCUUCCAAACGAAGUGUGUCGAUUCGAAUUCGACUAGUCAUA